UAGGUUUAGGGUUAGGGUUAGGGUUAGGGUUAGGGUUAGGAAAUUGAGGCUGAACCCUUCCACCCCGAUGGUCAAAAGCCACCGGCCGACCGCCGGAGCGAAAGGGAGGUGCACUGGCCUUCCACCCCUGGAAUCUCCCUCCACCUUGAUUCCCAACUCCCGUCUGAUAUCCAUUCUGGCCUCGGCGACCAUACCGGGCCACUGUCCAUCCCUCAUCCAUCAUUUUGUUGUAGAUUUACGUAAUUUUUAUUUUUAUGAACUCUUUUUUUGUUUUUUUAUAUUUUUUAUUUUUGUAAUUUUUUUGUUGUUAUAGUAUAUAUUUUUGUAAUGUUUUUGUAUAUUUUGUUGUAUUUUUUCAGUUUUUAUUGUUUUUGUAUCCGUUUCUUAGUUUUCUGUCCUUGUCAUAAAGUUACUGAUUUUCCUGUCGCCUUUGCUAUAUAAUUAAUCAAUGUUCUAUUGUCUAGUCUAUAAAUUGUAUGUUCUACAAUGAACUAUCAGGUAUAGUAUUGAUAAUGUAUUGUAAAGAUGCCAAAAAAAUAUUUUUUUCAAAAAAAAUUUUUUUAAUAAAGAAAUAAAAAAUAAUAAAGAAACUAUCAAACAAAAGUUGUUUUCAUUCAAUUGUACUUGUAUUUAUCCAAUUAUAUGUUUGUGUGUGCCAACAACAACGUUUCGGCUUAUGUCAAGCCUUCUUCAGGUUUUAGCACACAAUUUCUAUGAUCCUACUGUUGUAGCAAGAGCUGUUACUCGUUCAAAAACAAACAUGAAAUGACCGGAUUUGGCUGGUUCCCUAUUUAUAGCCUCUGUCUCAGUGACUCCUCCUUCGUCUUUACCAGCGUAUUUAUUCCAAUGCCCUUCAUUCACCAGUCUUAUUCUUAUGUGCAAUUAGUGUAAAUAGUGUAUAUAUAUAUAUAUAUGUUUUUAAUUAAUUAAUUAAUUAAUUUAAUCCUGUAUAUAGUAUGUUAGUGAUUAUUAUUUAGUUUUUUAACUCUUUAAUUCUAGAAUUCCUUAAAUAAACAAAUGAAUAACUGAUCGAUUAUAGAAUUGAAAUUAGGGUUAAUUAGGGUUAAUUAGGGUUAAUUGAAAAUUAGGUUGAGUCAAUUUUAGUGUUAUCAUCAAUUAGGGUGGGAUCAAAUGGUUAAGGUUAGGGUAAGGUUAGAAUUAGGAUUAAUCCAAUUAGGGUUGAGUGUGAUUAGGAUUAAUUAAAAAUUAGGGUUAACAAAUGGUUAAGGUUAGGGUUAAAUCAAAGUUAGGGUUAGUAAAUCUAGGGUUGGGAUUAAUUUAACAUUGGGUAAACUAGGGUUACUUACAAUUAGGGUUAACCAAUCAAGGGUUAACUAAAAUUAGGGUUGGAUGAAAUGGUUAAGAUUAGGGUUAGAUUAGAAGUUGGAUCAAUUAAAUUAUGAUUAUAUUAAUUUAACAUUGGGUAAACUAGGGUUACUUACAAUUAGGGUUAACCAAUUAAGGGUUGACUGAAAUUAGGGUUGGAUGAAAUGGUUAAGAUUAGGGUUAGAUUAGAAAUUGGAGUCAUUGAAUUAUGGUUAAGUGGAAUUAGGGUAAAAUUAAAAUUAGGGUGGACAAAUGGUUAAGGUUAGGGUAAGGUUAAAAUUAGGAUUAAUCCAAUUAGGGUUGAGUGUGAUUAGGAUUAAUUAAAAAUUAGGGUUAACAAAUGGUUAAGGUUAGGGUUAAAUCAAAGUUAGGGUUAGUAAAUCUAGGGUUGGGAUUAGGUUAACAUUGGGUAAACUAGGGUUACUUACAGUUUGGUGAAAUGGUUAAGGUUAGGGUUAAAUUAGAAUUUGGAUUAGUUGAAUUAGGGUUACAUGGAAUCAGGGUAUAAUUAAAAUUUAAAUUAGGGUGAAGAUUAGAGCUAAAUUAGAAUUAGGAUUAUUUAGGGUUAACUGAAUUUAGGUUGGGAUCAAAUGGUUAGGUUAAAUAAGCAGUAAUAUGCAUGUGUAUCUAAAUAAAUUUUCUAAUCCUAAAAAAUGUUUUUGUAAUUUUCUUCUGUCAAUUGUCCCUCAUAAUUUCAACCCAUCUUUUUAUUUAACCCAUAUGGUUGUUUUGUCGCUAAUUUAUGUAUCCAUUGUCUUUCUCUACAUUUUCUUUCUAAAUCUGUCCAAUUAAAGUUUUUUUGUAAUCCAGCCAUUCGUAAUGACUCUAAUCCAUGUAUUAGGAAAUGCUGUACCAGGGGUGUGUCCAUUUCUUUUUUAUUUUUAAUAUUAUACCUAUGCUGUGUAAUUCGUGCUGAUAACGAAUUCUUUGUUUCCCCUACAUAUUUAAUCCCACAUUUAUUACAAAUUAUUAAAUAAAUACAAUUUGUGGACCUCGCAGUAAAUGUUUGUUCAAUUUUUAUGAUAGUUUUCUCCACUGUGUUUUUGAUAAAUUUUAGUUUCAACAAUUGUUUAUCUAGUAAUAAUUGUUUUUGUGUUAAUAGUGAUGGUAAUUUGGCUCUGACUAACAAAUCUUUCAAAUUCUUAUUCCUCCUAUAUGCCGAGAUUAUGUUAAAUUUUGGGAUUCCUGUAGUCGUUUCCGAAAUUUCCUGCAAAUUUCGUUUUAUUUUAUUGUGUAGUACCUUGCCUACUGUACAGAAAUUUGUAAUGAGAGGAAUAACAUUUUCUUUCGUUUGUUUUUUGUUGAGAAAUGUUUUCAGAUGAUUUCUUAAAUAUGAUCUCGAAUACCCUCUUUUUCGUAGGGUAUCAAAUAAGAUCUUCACCGCUUCCCUAAAAUCCUCCUCCCUCGUGCAGAUUCGGUGAAAGCGCAGAAUCUGGGAUUUUACAAUUCCUUUAAAAGUAUGAUUUGGAUGGAAGCUAAAUUUAUGCAAUAAUGCGUGAGUAUCUGUUGCCUUGAAAUACACUUUAAUAUCCAAUCGAUGAUUUUCCUGAAAAUUGGGUCCCUUAAAUAUUGUAGUAUCUAAAAAGUCAAUAGAAUUUUGCUUAAUUUCUGCUUUGAGUUUAAUUGAUGGAUCCUGUGAAUUUAGUGUUUCCUUGAAAUUUUCAAAUUCUUGUUUAGUCCCUAUCCAUAAUCCCCAAAUGUCGUCCAAAUACCGUAGAUAACUAGCCGGUUUCUUUUCACAUUUGGCCAGUGCUUUUUCUUCCCAGUUGGCCAUAAAAAUAUUGGCAUAUGCUGGAGCAAAUUUUUUACCCAUUGCUGUUCCCUUAAUUUGCAAAUAAUAUUUUUCAUUGAAUACAAAGUCAUUUCUAGUUAAAUUAAUUUCUAAUAAUUGUAAUAAUUCAUCAUCUGGUCUGUUUGGAUCUGGGUAUUUCUGGAAAAUUUGUUUUACACAUUCAAUUCCUGCCGGAAUAGGAAUAUUUGUAUAUAAACUGUUAACAUCCAUCGAAAAAAACCAAAAGUCCGAGGUUAUUGUAACGUCUUUUACCAUCUCUAUAAAAUGGUAUGUGUCUCUCACAUAGGAUGGAUGUUUGAUCGAAAGUGGAUUUAGAUAAUGAUCCAAAUAUUCUGCGGUGAAAUAUGUAUCACUCCCACAGUCUGAUACUAUGGGUCUCCCUGGGGGAAUUUCAAAUGGAAUUGUCCAUUUCUCCGGACUUUUAUGAAUUUUUGGGAGAAUAUAAAAUCUCCUCUCUCUUGGUUCUGAGGUUCCAAGUAGGUACUGUUUUUGUUUUCCAUUGAUAAAUUUUUUCUUUUUUAGAUUGUUUAUAAUUUCCUUUAUUUUUGGUAGUGUUUCUCUAUAAAUGGGUUUUUCCAAUUUUUUGUAAUAUUCUGUGUCAUUCAAUUGUCUUUCUACUUCCAUUAUAUAUUGUUCUCUACUUAGAAUCACUACUGACGAGCCUUUAUCAGCCGGUUUAAUGACUAUAUGUUUUGUAUGCAUUAAUUCUCGUAAGGCUUUUACUUCUUCUACAGACAUAUUGUAUUUUUCAGUAGUCGGUAAGUAGUGUUUUUUUAUUGUCUGCCAAUCUUUUUGUAUUAAUUGUCCCACUUCUGGUGGUAAUUUAUCCAUAGGUGGUUUCCAAUCAGAAGAGCCUGUAAAUGGUGGUCUCUCCUUACCCAUCGAAUCCUUAAAGACUUAGAGGCUGACCAAGUUUAAAGUCUUCCCCCAGUGGUCAAGCAUAGCGGUCGCCGUUUCUUUUGUCCAGUGGAUUCCAUCCUCCUCCACCUGGAAUUGGUCCUCAGGUAAGAGAGGAAGAUCUUCUGGUGGUACCGUUUUCUCCAUCAGGUAAUGUCCAUGCCGGAAAUGACUUCCCGGGUAACUUUCAAUUUGUACGUUUCCGUAUGGAUGAUCCGGUAUUCGACUCAAAUUAGAGUCCCCCAUAAUUAGCCACUUCUUCGAUACUGACAAAUUCCAUUCCACUAACUUCCUCUGCGUGUUGGGAUGUCUAUUAACCCUAUAUAGUUGGGAUUGUGGUGGUAUGAUGCGAGUGGAGGACUCCGGGAGAACCUCCUCCUCUUCUACCUCUUCAUCUGCCCGCCAUUGGUUCAAUACCUGGGUAUUGUUUCGUCAACAGGUUCCAUUUGAGGUCUCACAAUGAGAUCCUCUUCCACGCCACCUUGGAGCCAGGAUUCUACCCUAGCCUUUCGUGAGGUCCUCGGCGUCUCUAUAAAUUUUUCCAUUGGAGAUCGAUGCACUAAAGCUCCAUCUGUGAUCUCUGGUAGCCUCAGUGUCAUGAUAUCGUCAUCGUCUGAUGUUCCCAUGAGUGUCAUUUCAGGUCUCUCCAAUAUGCUAACCUCCUGAGGAGAUUCAGUUCCGAUCGGUGUCGUGUUUUGAAUCGGCCCAGUGGGGACCAUGGGCGUCGGCUGUGAUUCUGGCACAUUCUGGAUCACUGGUGCAAUAUUCUGGAUCACCGGUGCAAUAUUUUGUAUAGCCUGCUCUACGGGUGGGCUCCGGGGAUGAAUUUUUUCUUUAAUCAACUUCUCCGUUUGAUCAAUCACCUGUUGUUUCACAUGUGGUAAUUUAUUCUUGGCCCAUCUGAUUGCCACCGUGUAGGCCUUUUUCCAGUCCGGGGUAAUAAAAUCCACAAUUUCAUUGAGCCAUUCCUCCAGGCAAGCCUGGUAGUGUUGAAAUAAUAUCAAACAUGUGGUAUAGCCCCAAUUUUUUGCGUUUCCCAUGAUGAGGUCCAUUGUUUGGCCUUUGGGGAAUGCCGGGUUAAUCAUCCCCAUUAAUACCUCGACCAUUCUUUCGAUCAUCUUGGGUUGUGGUUUCCCCCCUGUUGGGUCCACAUUCUGUAAGUGGUGUACCACUUUCAGAAUAUUAUACAAUUUUUGGACCAGCCUUUUAAACCUGGGGUCAGCCGGUUGUGGCCCUCUUUCAAAUCCCCCAUUCCUUUGGGGAGGUCUCCUUGGGUCUGGUCCCAUCCAACCACGGCUCACUGCGGCCGCAUAUGAAUAAGGACGGGAAUCCGGUUUACGGAAAGACCAUGGGGGAGGCACUGGCGGGUUAGGAAAUUGAGGCUGAACCCUUCCACCCCGAUGGUCAAAAGCCACCGGCCGACCGCCGGAGCGAAAGGGAGGUGCACUGGCCUUCCACCCCUGGAAUCUCCCUCCACCUUGAUUCCCAACUCCCGUCUGAUAUCCAUUCUGGCCUCGGCGACCAUACCGGGCCACUGUCCAUCCCUCAUCCAUCAUUUUGUUGUAGAUUUACGUAAUUUUUAUUUUUAUGAACUCUUUUUUUGUUUUUUUAUAUUUUUUAUUUUUGUAAUUUUUUUGUUGUUAUAGUAUAUAUUUUUGUAAUGUUUUUGUAUAUUUUGUUGUAUUUUUUCAGUUUUUAUUGUUUUUGUAUCCGUUUCUUAGUUUUCUGUCCUUGUCAUAAAGUUACUGAUUUUCCUGUCGCCUUUGCUAUAUAAUUAAUCAAUGUUCUAUUGUCUAGUCUAUAAAUUGUAUGUUCUACAAUGAACUAUCAGGUAUAGUAUUGAUAAUGUAUUGUAAAGAUGCCAAAAAAAUAUUUUUUUCAAAAAAAAUUUUUUUAAUAAAGAAAUAAAAAAUAAUAAAGAAACUAUCAAACAAAAGUUGUUUUCAUUCAAUUGUACUUGUAUUUAUCCAAUUAUAUGUUUGUGUGUGCCAACAACAACGUUUCGGCUUAUGUCAAGCCUUCUUCAGGUUUUAGCACACAAUUUCUAUGAUCCUACUGUUGUAGCAAGAGCUGUUACUCGUUCAAAAACAAACAUGAAAUGACCGGAUUUGGCUGGUUCCCUAUUUAUAGCCUCUGUCUCAGUGACUCCUCCUUCGUCUUUACCAGCGUAUUUAUUCCAAUGCCCUUCAUUCACCAGUCUUAUUCUUAUGUGCAAUUAGUGUAAAUAGUGUAUAUAUAUAUAUAUGUUUUUAAUUAAUUAAUUAAUUAAUUUAAUCCUGUAUAUAGUAUGUUAGUGAUUAUUAUUUAGUUUUUUAACUCUUUAAUUCUAGAAUUCCUUAAAUAAACAAAUGAAUAACUGAUCGAUUAUAGAAUUGAAAUUAGGGUUAAUUAGGGUUAAUUAGGGUUAAUUGAAAAUUAGGUUGAGUCAAUUUUAGUGUUAUCAUCAAUUAGGGUGGGAUCAAAUGGUUAAGGUUAGGGUAAGGUUAGAAUUAGGAUUAAUCCAAUUAGGGUUGAGUGUGAUUAGGAUUAAUUAAAAAUUAGGGUUAACAAAUGGUUAAGGUUAGGGUUAAAUCAAAGUUAGGGUUAGUAAAUCUAGGGUUGGGAUUAAUUUAACAUUGGGUAAACUAGGGUUACUUACAAUUAGGGUUAACCAAUCAAGGGUUAACUAAAAUUAGGGUUGGAUGAAAUGGUUAAGAUUAGGGUUAGAUUAGAAGUUGGAUCAAUUAAAUUAUGAUUAUAUUAAUUUAACAUUGGGUAAACUAGGGUUACUUACAAUUAGGGUUAACCAAUUAAGGGUUGACUGAAAUUAGGGUUGGAUGAAAUGGUUAAGAUUAGGGUUAGAUUAGAAAUUGGAGUCAUUGAAUUAUGGUUAAGUGGAAUUAGGGUAAAAUUAAAAUUAGGGUGGACAAAUGGUUAAGGUUAGGGUAAGGUUAAAAUUAGGAUUAAUCCAAUUAGGGUUGAGUGUGAUUAGGAUUAAUUAAAAAUUAGGGUUAACAAAUGGUUAAGGUUAGGGUUAAAUCAAAGUUAGGGUUAGUAAAUCUAGGGUUGGGAUUAGGUUAACAUUGGGUAAACUAGGGUUACUUACAGUUUGGUGAAAUGGUUAAGGUUAGGGUUAAAUUAGAAUUUGGAUUAGUUGAAUUAGGGUUAAAUGGAAUCAGGGUAUAAUUAAAAUUUAAAUUAGGGUGAAGAUUAGAGUUAAAUUAGAAUUAGGAUUAUUUAGGGUUAACUGAAUUUAGGUUGGGAUCAAAUGGUUAGGUUAAAUAAGCAGUAAUAUGCAUGUGUAUCUAAAUAAAUUUUCUAAUCCUAAAAAAUGUUUUUGUAAUUUUCUUCUGUCAAUUGUCCCUCAUAAUUUCAACCCAUCUUUUUAUUUAACCCAUAUGGUUGUUUUGUCGCUAAUUUAUGUAUCCAUUGUCUUUCUCUACAUUUUCUUUCUAAAUCUGUCCAAUUAAAGUUUUUUUGUAAUCCAGCCAUUCGUAAUGACUCUAAUCCAUGUAUUAGGAAAUGCUGUACCAGGGGUGUGUCCAUUUCUUUUUUAUUUUUAAUAUUAUACCUAUGCUGUGUAAUUCGUGCUGAUAACGAAUUCUUUGUUUCCCCUACAUAUUUAAUCCCACAUUUAUUACAAAUUAUUAAAUAAAUACAAUUUGUGGACCUCGCAGUAAAUGUUUGUUCAAUUUUUAUGAUAGUUUUCUCCACUGUGUUUUUGAUAAAUUUUAGUUUCAACAAUUGUUUAUCUAGUAAUAAUUGUUUUUGUGUUAAUAGUGAUGGUAAUUUGGCUCUGACUAACAAAUCUUUCAAAUUCUUAUUCCUCCUAUAUGCCGAGAUUAUGUUAAAUUUUGGGAUUCCUGUAGUCGUUUCCGAAAUUUCCUGCAAAUUUCGUUUUAUUUUAUUGUGUAGUACCUUGCCUACUGUACAGAAAUUUGUAAUGAGAGGAAUAACAUUUUCUUUCGUUUGUUUUUUGUUGAGAAAUGUUUUCAGAUGAUUUCUUAAAUAUGAUCUCGAAUACCCUCUUUUUCGUAGGGUAUCAAAUAAGAUCUUCACCGCUUCCCUAAAAUCCUCCUCCCUCGUGCAGAUUCGGUGAAAGCGCAGAAUCUGGGAUUUUACAAUUCCUUUAAAAGUAUGAUUUGGAUGGAAGCUAAAUUUAUGCAAUAAUGCGUGAGUAUCUGUUGCCUUGAAAUACACUUUAAUAUCCAAUCGAUGAUUUUCCUGAAAAUUGGGUCCCUUAAAUAUUGUAGUAUCUAAAAAGUCAAUAGAAUUUUGCUUAAUUUCUGCUUUAAGUUUAAUUGAUGGAUCCUGUGAAUUUAGUGUUUCCUUGAAAUUUUCAAAUUCUUGUUUAGUCCCUAUCCAUAAUCCCCAAAUGUCGUCCAAAUACCGUAGAUAACUAGCCGGUUUCUUUUCACAUUUGGCCAGUGCUUUUUCUUCCCAGUUGGCCAUAAAAAUAUUGGCAUAUGCUGGAGCAAAUUUUUUACCCAUUGCUGUUCCCUUAAUUUGCAAAUAAUAUUUUUCAUUGAAUACAAAGUCAUUUCUAGUUAAAUUAAUUUCUAAUAAUUGUAAUAAUUCAUCAUCUGGUCUGUUUGGAUCUGGGUAUUUCUGGAAAAUUUGUUUUACACAUUCAAUUCCUGCCGGAAUAGGAAUAUUUGUAUAUAAACUGUUAACAUCCAUCGAAAAAAACCAAAAGUCCGAGGUUAUUGUAACGUCUUUUACCAUCUCUAUAAAAUGGUAUGUGUCUCUCACAUAGGAUGGAUGUUUGAUCGAAAGUGGAUUUAGAUAAUGAUCCAAAUAUUCUGCGGUGAAAUAUGUAUCACUCCCACAGUCUGAUACUAUGGGUCUCCCUGGGGGAAUUUCAAAUGGAAUUGUCCAUUUCUCCGGACUUUUAUGAAUUUUUGGGAGAAUAUAAAAUCUCCUCUCUCUUGGUUCUGAGGUUCCAAGUAGGUACUGUUUUUGUUUUCCAUUGAUAAAUUUUUUCUUUUUUAGAUUGUUUAUAAUUUCCUUUAUUUUUGGUAGUGUUUCUCUAUAAAUGGGUUUUUCCAAUUUUUUGUAAUAUUCUGUGUCAUUCAAUUGUCUUUCUACUUCCAUUAUAUAUUGUUCUCUACUUAGAAUCACUACUGACGAGCCUUUAUCAGCCGGUUUAAUGACUAUAUGUUUUGUAUGCAUUAAUUCUCGUAAGGCUUUUACUUCUUCUACAGACAUAUUGUAUUUUUCAGUAGUCGGUAAGUAGUGUUUUUUUAUUGUCUGCCAAUCUUUUUGUAUUAAUUGUCCCACUUCUGGUGGUAAUUUAUCCAUAGGUGGUUUCCAAUCAGAAGAGCCUGUAAAUGGUGGUCUCUCCUUACCCAUCGAAUCCUUAAAGACUUAGAGGCUGACCAAGUUUAAAGUCUUCCCCCAGUGGUCAAGCAUAGCGGUCGCCGUUUCUUUUGUCCAGUGGAUUCCAUCCUCCUCCACCUGGAAUUGGUCCUCAGAUCUUCUGGUGGUACCGUUUUCUCCAUCAGUUGGGAUUGUGGUGGUAUGAUGCGAGUGGAGGACUCCGGGAGAACCUCCUCCUCUUCUACCUCUUCAUCUGCCCGCCAUUGGUUCAAUACCUGGGUAUUGUUUCGUCAACAGGUUCCAUUUGAGGUCUCACAAUGAGAUCCUCUUCCACGCCACCUUGGAGCCAGGAUUCUACCCUAGCCUUUCGUGAGGUCCUCGGCGUCUCUAUAAAUUUUUCCAUUGGAGAUCGAUGCACUAAAGCUCCAUCUGUGAUCUCUGGUAGCCUCAGUGUCAUGAUAUCGUCAUCGUCUGAUGUUCCCAUGAGUGUCAUUUCAGGUCUCUCCAAUAUGCUAACCUCCUGAGGAGAUUCAGUUCCGAUCGGUGUCGUGUUUUGAAUCGGCCCAGUGGGGACCAUGGGCGUCGGCUGUGAUUCUGGCACAUUCUGGAUCACUGGUGCAAUAUUCUGGAUCACCGGUGCAAUAUUUUGUAUAGCCUGCUCUACGGGUGGGCUCCGGGGAUGAAUUUUUUCUUUAAUCAAAUUCUCCGUUUGAUCAAUCACCUGUUGUUUCACAUGUGGUAAUUUAUUCUUGGCCCAUCUGAUUGCCACCGUGUAGGCCUUUUUCCAGUCCGGGGUAAUAAAAUCCACAAUUUCAUUGAGCCAUUCCUCCAGGCAAGCCUGGUAGUGUUGAAAUAAUAUCAAACAUGUGGUAUAGCCCCAAUUUUUUGCGUUUCCCAUGAUGAGGUCCAUUGUUUGGCCUUUGGGGAAUGCCGGGUUAAUCAUCCCCAUUAAUACCUCGACCAUUCUUUCGAUCAUCUUGGGUUGUGGUUUCCCCCCUGUUGGGUCCACAUUCUGUAAGUGGUGUACCACUUUCAGAAUAUUAUACAAUUUUUGGACCAGCCUUUUAAACCUGGGGUCAGCCGGUUGUAGCCCUCUUUCAAAUCCCCCAUUCCUUUGGGGAGGUCUCCUUGGGUCUGGUCCCAUCCAACCACGGCUCACUGCGGCCGCAUAUGAAUAAGGACGGGAAUCCGGUUUACGGAAAGACCAUGGGGGAGGCACUGGCGGGUUAGGAAAUUGAGGCUGAACCCUUCCACCCCGAUGGUCAAAUGCCACCGGCCGACCGCCGGAGCGAAAGGGAGGUGCACUGGCCUUCCACCCCUGGAAUCUCCCUCCACCUUGAUUCCCAACUCCCGUCUGAUAUCCAUUCUGGCCUCGGCGACCAUACCGGGCCACUGUCCAUCCCUCAUCCAUCAUUUUGUUGUAGAUUUACGUAAUUUUUAUUUUUAUGAACUCUUUUUUUGUUUUUUUAUAUUUUUUAUUUUUGUAAUUUUUUUGUUGUUAUAGUAUAUAUUUUUGUAAUGUUUUUGUAUAUUUUGUUGUAUUUUUUCAGUUUUUAUUGUUUUUGUAUCCGUUUCUUAGUUUUCUGUCCUUGUCAUAAAGUUACUGAUUUUCCUGUCGCCUUUGCUAUAUAAUUAAUCAAUGUUCUAUUGUCUAGUCUAUAAAUUGUAUGUUCUACAAUGAACUAUCAGGUAUAGUAUUGAUAAUGUAUUGUAAAGAUGCCAAAAGAAUAUUUUUUUCAAAAAAAAUUUUUUUAAUAAAGAAAUAAAAAAUAAUAAAGAAACUAUCAAACAAAAGUUGUUUUCAUUCAAUUGUACUUGUAUUUAUCCAAUUAUAUGUUUGUGUGUGCCAACAACAACGUUUCGGCUUAUGUCAAGCCUUCUUCAGGUUUUAGCACACAAUUUCUAUGAUCCUACUGUUGUAGCAAGAGCUGUUACUCGUUCAAAAACAAACAUGAAAUGACCGGAUUUGGCUGGUUCCCUAUUUAUAGCCUCUGUCUCAGUGACUCCUCCUUCGUCUUUACCAGCGUAUUUAUUCCAAUGCCCUUCAUUCACCAGUCUUAUUCUUAUGUGCAAUUAGUGUAAAUAGUGUAUAUAUAUAUAUAUAUGUUUUUAAUUAAUUAAUUAAUUAAUUUAAUCCUGUAUAUAGUAUGUUAGUGAUUAUUAUUUAGUUUUUUAACUCUUUAAUUCUAGAAUUCCUUAAAUAAACAAAUGAAUAACUGAUCGAUUAUAGAAUUGAAAUUAGGGUUAAUUAGGGUUAAUUAGGGUUAAUUGAAAAUUAGGUUGAGUCAAUUUUAGUGUUAUCAUCAAUUAGGGUGGGAUCAAAUGGUUAAGGUUAGGGUAAGGUUAGAAUUAGGAUUAAUCCAAUUAGGGUUGAGUGUGAUUAGGAUUAAUUAAAAAUUAGGGUUAACAAAUGGUUAAGGUUAGGGUUAAAUCAAAGUUAGGGUUAGUAAAUCUAGGGUUGGGAUUAAUUUAACAUUGGGUAAACUAGGGUUACUUACAAUUAGGGUUAACCAAUCAAGGGUUAACUAAAAUUAGGGUUGGAUGAAAUGGUUAAGAUUAGGGUUAGAUUAGAAGUUGGAUCAAUUAAAUUAUGAUUAUAUUAAUUUAACAUUGGGUAAACUAGGGUUACUUACAAUUAGGGUUAACCAAUUAAGGGUUGACUGAAAUUAGGGUUGGAUGAAAUGGUUAAGAUUAGGGUUAGAUUAGAAAUUGGAGUCAUUGAAUUAUGGUUAAGUGGAAUUAGGGUAAAAUUAAAAUUAGGGUGGACAAAUGGUUAAGGUUAGGGUAAGGUUAAAAUUAGGAUUAAUCCAAUUAGGGUUGAGUGUGAUUAGGAUUAAUUAAAAAUUAGGGUUAACAAAUGGUUAAGGUUAGGGUUAAAUCAAAGUUAGGGUUAGUAAAUCUAGGGUUGGGAUUAGGUUAACAUUGGGUAAACUAGGGUUACUUACAGUUUGGUGAAAUGGUUAAGGUUAGGGUUAAAUUAGAAUUUGGAUUAGUUGAAUUAGGGUUAAAUGGAAUCAGGGUAUAAUUAAAAUUUAAAUUAGGGUGAAGAUUAGAGUUAAAUUAGAAUUAGGAUUAUUUAGGGUUAACUGAAUUUAGGUUGGGAUCAAAUGGUUAGGUUAAAUAAGCAGUAAUAUGCAUGUGUAUCUAAAUAAAUUUUCUAAUCCUAAAAAAUGUUUUUGUAAUUUUCUUCUGUCAAUUGUCCCUCAUAAUUUCAACCCAUCUUUUUAUUUAACCCAUAUGGUUGUUUUGUCGCUAAUUUAUGUAUCCAUUGUCUUUCUCUACAUUUUCUUUCUAAAUCUGUCCAAUUAAAGUUUUUUUGUAAUCCAGCCAUUCGUAAUGACUCUAAUCCAUGUAUUAGGAAAUGCUGUACCAGGGGUGUGUCCAUUUCUUUUUUAUUUUUAAUAUUAUACCUAUGCUGUGUAAUUCGUGCUGAUAACGAAUUCUUUGUUUCCCCUACAUAUUUAAUCCCACAUUUAUUACAAAUUAUUAAAUAAAUACAAUUUGUGGACCUCGCAGUAAAUGUUUGUUCAAUUUUUAUGAUAGUUUUCUCCACUGUGUUUUUGAUAAAUUUUAGUUUCAACAAUUGUUUAUCUAGUAAUAAUUGUUUUUGUGUUAAUAGUGAUGGUAAUUUGGCUCUGACUAACAAAUCUUUCAAAUUCUUAUUCCUCCUAUAUGCCGAGAUUAUGUUAAAUUUUGGGAUUCCUGUAGUCGUUUCCGAAAUUUCCUGCAAAUUUCGUUUUAUUUUAUUGUGUAGUACCUUGCCUACUGUACAGAAAUUUGUAAUGAGAGGAAUAACAUUUUCUUUCGUUUGUUUUUUGUUGAGAAAUGUUUUCAGAUGAUUUCUUAAAUAUGAUCUCGAAUACCCUCUUUUUCGUAGGGUAUCAAAUAAGAUCUUCACCGCUUCCCUAAAAUCCUCCUCCCUCGUGCAGAUUCGGUGAAAGCGCAGAAUCUGGGAUUUUACAAUUCCUUUAAAAGUAUGAUUUGGAUGGAAGCUAAAUUUAUGCAAUAAUGCGUGAGUAUCUGUUGCCUUGAAAUACACUUUAAUAUCCAAUCGAUGAUUUUCCUGAAAAUUGGGUCCCUUAAAUAUUGUAGUAUCUAAAAAGUCAAUAGAAUUUUGCUUAAUUUCUGCUUUAAGUUUAAUUGAUGGAUCCUGUGAAUUUAGUGUUUCCUUGAAAUUUUCAAAUUCUUGUUUAGUCCCUAUCCAUAAUCCCCAAAUGUCGUCCAAAUACCGUAGAUAACUAGCCGGUUUCUUUUCACAUUUGGCCAGUGCUUUUUCUUCCCAGUUGGCCAUAAAAAUAUUGGCAUAUGCUGGAGCAAAUUUUUUACCCAUUGCUGUUCCCUUAAUUUGCAAAUAAUAUUUUUCAUUGAAUACAAAGUCAUUUCUAGUUAAAUUAAUUUCUAAUAAUUGUAAUAAUUCAUCAUCUGGUCUGUUUGGAUCUGGGUAUUUCUGGAAAAUUUGUUUUACACAUUCAAUUCCUGCCGGAAUAGGAAUAUUUGUAUAUAAACUGUUAACAUCCAUCGAAAAAAACCAAAAGUCCGAGGUUAUUGUAACGUCUUUUACCAUCUCUAUAAAAUGGUAUGUGUCUCUCACAUAGGAUGGAUGUUUGAUCGAAAGUGGAUUUAGAUAAUGAUCCAAAUAUUCUGCGGUGAAAUAUGUAUCACUCCCACAGUCUGAUACUAUGGGUCUCCCUGGGGGAAUUUCAAAUGGAAUUGUCCAUUUCUCCGGACUUUUAUGAAUUUUUGGGAGAAUAUAAAAUCUCCUCUCUCUUGGUUCUGAGGUUCCAAGUAGGUACUGUUUUUGUUUUCCAUUGAUAAAUUUUUUCUUUUUUAGAUUGUUUAUAAUUUCCUUUAUUUUUGGUAGUGUUUCUCUAUAAAUGGGUUUUUCCAAUUUUUUGUAAUAUUCUGUGUCAUUCAAUUGUCUUUCUACUUCCAUUAUAUAUUGUUCUCUACUUAGAAUCACUACUGACGAGCCUUUAUCAGCCGGUUUAAUGACUAUAUGUUUUGUAUGCAUUAAUUCUCGUAAGGCUUUUACUUCUUCUACAGACAUAUUGUAUUUUUCAGUAGUCGGUAAGUAGUGUUUUUUUAUUGUCUGCCAAUCUUUUUGUAUUAAUUGUCCCACUUCUGGUGGUAAUUUAUCCAUAGGUGGUUUCCAAUCAGAAGAGCCUGUAAAUGGUGGUCUCUCCUUACCCAUCGAAUCCUUAAAGACUUAGAGGCUGACCAAGUUUAAAGUCUUCCCCCAGUGGUCAAGCAUAGCGGUCGCCGUUUCUUUUGUCCAGUGGAUUCCAUCCUCCUCCACCUGGAAUUGGUCCUCAGAUCUUCUGGUGGUACCGUUUUCUCCAUCAGUUGGGAUUGUGGUGGUAUGAUGCGAGUGGAGGACUCCGGGAGAACCUCCUCCUCUUCUACCUCUUCAUCUGCCCGCCAUUGGUUCAAUACCUGGGUAUUGUUUCGUCAACAGGUUCCAUUUGAGGUCUCACAAUGAGAUCCUCUUCCACGCCACCUUGGAGCCAGGAUUCUACCCUAGCCUUUCGUGAGGUCCUCGGCGUCUCUAUAAAUUUUUCCAUUGGAGAUCGAUGCACUAAAGCUCCAUCUGUGAUCUCUGGUAGCCUCAGUGUCAUGAUAUCGUCAUCGUCUGAUGUUCCCAUGAGUGUCAUUUCAGGUCUCUCCAAUAUGCUAACCUCCUGAGGAGAUUCAGUUCCGAUCGGUGUCGUGUUUUGAAUCGGCCCAGUGGGGACCAUGGGCGUCGGCUGUGAUUCUGGCACAUUCUGGAUCACUGGUGCAAUAUUCUGGAUCACCGGUGCAAUAUUUUGUAUAGCCUGCUCUACGGGUGGGCUCCGGGGAUGAAUUUUUUCUUUAAUCAAAUUCUCCGUUUGAUCAAUCACCUGUUGUUUCACAUGUGGUAAUUUAUUCUUGGCCCAUCUGAUUGCCACCGUGUAGGCCUUUUUCCAGUCCGGGGUAAUAAAAUCCACAAUUUCAUUGAGCCAUUCCUCCAGGCAAGCCUGGUAGUGUUGAAAUAAUAUCAAACAUGUGGUAUAGCCCCAAUUUUUUGCGUUUCCCAUGAUGAGGUCCAUUGUUUGGCCUUUGGGGAAUGCCGGGUUAAUCAUCCCCAUUAAUACCUCGACCAUUCUUUCGAUCAUCUUGGGUUGUGGUUUCCCCCCUGUUGGGUCCACAUUCUGUAAGUGGUGUACCACUUUCAGAAUAUUAUACAAUUUUUGGACCAGCCUUUUAAACCUGGGGUCAGCCGGUUGUAGCCCUCUUUCAAAUCCCCCAUUCCUUUGGGGAGGUCUCCUUGGGUCUGGUCCCAUCCAACCACGGCUCACUGCGGCCGCAUAUGAAUAAGGACGGGAAUCCGGUUUACGGAAAGACCAUGGGGGAGGCACUGGCGGGUUAGGAAAUUGAGGCUGAACCCUUCCACCCCGAUGGUCAAAUGCCACCGGCCGACCGCCGGAGCGAAAGGGAGGUGCACUGGCCUUCCACCCCUGGAAUCUCCCUCCACCUUGAUUCCCAACUCCCGUCUGAUAUCCAUUCUGGCCUCGGCGACCAUACCGGGCCACUGUCCAUCCCUCAUCCAUCAUUUUGUUGUAGAUUUACGUAAUUUUUAUUUUUAUGAACUCUUUUUUUGUUUUUUUAUAUUUUUUAUUUUUGUAAUUUUUUUGUUGUUAUAGUAUAUAUUUUUGUAAUGUUUUUGUAUAUUUUGUUGUAUUUUUUCAGUUUUUAUUGUUUUUGUAUCCGUUUCUUAGUUUUCUGUCCUUGUCAUAAAGUUACUGAUUUUCCUGUCGCCUUUGCUAUAUAAUUAAUCAAUGUUCUAUUGUCUAGUCUAUAAAUUGUAUGUUCUACAAUGAACUAUCAGGUAUAGUAUUGAUAAUGUAUUGUAAAG